CAAGGAGCGGUCUUCUCACAUCUUUUCAAACUAGACCGGAUAUGAUACGUGCGGACUGACCUAUCUGCACACGAUGGAACGUGCACGUAGACUGGUCUUGUGCUCCACGCGAAUGGGACAUGUGCACAGUGUGCACGUCUUGUGCUGGCCGUGCGCGCACGCAUGCACACAACGUGUUAUGCCCGCACGUCUUUCCCAUGGGUGUUU
rnacentral:lncRNA from 1 species